AGUGAACGCUGGCGGUAGGCCUAACACAUGCAAGUCGAACGGCAGCACAGUAAGAGCUUGCUCUUACGGGUGGCGAGUGGCGGACGGGUGAGGAAUACAUCGGAAUCUACUUUUUCGUGGGGGAUAACGUAGGGAAACUUACGCUAAUACCGCAUACGACCUACGGGUGAAAGCAGGGGAUCUUCGGACCUUGCGCGAUUGAAUGAGCCGAUGUCGGAUUAGCUAGUUGGCGGGGUAAAGGCCCACCAAGGCGACGAUCCGUAGCUGGUCUGAGAGGAUGAUCAGCCACACUGGAACUGAGACACGGUCCAGACUCCUACGGGAGGCAGCAGUGGGGAAUAUUCGACAAUGGGCGCAAGCCUGAUCCAGCCACACCGCGUGGGUGAAGAAGGCCUUCGGGUUGUAAAGCCCUUUUGUUGGGAAAGAAAAGCAGCAGGUUAAUACCCCGCUGUUCUGACGGUACCCAAAGAAUAAGCACCGGCUAACUUCGUG
rnacentral:rRNA from 1 species